GGGUUGUGAGGUUAAGCGACUAAGCGUACACGGUGGAUGCCCUGGCAGUCAGAGGCGAUGAAGGACGUGCUAAUCUGCGAUAAGCGUCGGUAAGGUGAUAUGAACCGUUAUAACCGGCGAUUUCCGAAUGGGGAAACCCAGUGUGAUUCGUCACACUAUCAUUAACUGAAUCCAUAGGUUAAUGAGGCGAACCGGGGGAACUGAAACAUCUAAGUACCCCGAGGAAAAGAAAUCAACCGAGAUUCCCCCAGUAGCGGCGAGCGAACGGGGAGCAGCCCAGAGCCUGAAUCAGUGUGUGUGUUAGUGGAAGCGUCUGGAAAGGCGCGCGAUACAGGGUGACAGCCCCGUACACAAAAAUGCACAUGCUGUGAGCUCGAUGAGUAGGGCGGGACACGUGGUAUCCUGUCUGAAUAUGGGGGGACCAUCCUCCAAGGCUAAAUACUCCUGACUGACCGAUAGUGAACCAGUACCGUGAGGGAAAGGCGAAAAGAACCCCGGCGAGGGGAGUGAAAAAGAACCUGAAACCGUGUACGUACAAGCAGUGGGAGCACGCUUAGGCGUGUGACUGCGUACCUUUUGUAUAAUGGGUCAGCGACUUAUAUUCUGUAGCAAGGUUAACCGAAUAGGGGAGCCGAAGGGAAACCGAGUCUUAACUGGGCGUUAAGUUGCAGGGUAUAGACCCGAAACCCGGUGAUCUAGCCAUGGGCAGGUUGAAGGUUGGGUAACACUAACUGGAGGACCGAACCGACUAAUGUUGAAAAAUUAGCGGAUGACUUGUGGCUGGGGGUGAAAGGCCAAUCAAACCGGGAGAUAGCUGGUUCUCCCCGAAAGCUAUUUAGGUAGCGCCUCGUGAAUUCAUCUCCGGGGGUAGAGCACUGUUUCGGCAAGGGGGUCAUCCCGACUUACCAACCCGAUGCAAACUGCGAAUACCGGAGAAUGUUAUCACGGGAGACACACGGCGGGUGCUAACGUCCGUCGUGAAGAGGGAAACAACCCAGACCGCCAGCUAAGGUCCCAAAGUCAUGGUUAAGUGGGAAACGAUGUGGGAAGGCCCAGACAGCCAGGAUGUUGGCUUAGAAGCAGCCAUCAUUUAAAGAAAGCGUAAUAGCUCACUGGUCGAGUCGGCCUGCGCGGAAGAUGUAACGGGGCUAAACCAUGCACCGAAGCUGCGGCAGCGACGCUGAUGCGUUGUUGGGUAGGGGAGCGUUCUGUAAGCCUGUGAAGGUGUGCUGUGAGGCAUGCUGGAGGUAUCAGAAGUGCGAAUGCUGACAUAAGUAACGAUAAAGCGGGUGAAAAGCCCGCUCGCCGGAAGACCAAGGGUUCCUGUCCAACGUUAAUCGGGGCAGGGUGAGUCGACCCCUAAGGCGAGGCCGAAAGGCGUAGUCGAUGGGAAACAGGUUAAUAUUCCUGUACUUGGUGUUACUGCGAAGGGGGGACGGAGAAGGCUAUGUUGGCCGGGCGACGGUUGUCCCGGUUUAAGCGUGUAGGCUGGUUUUCCAGGCAAAUCCGGAAAAUCAAGGCUGAGGCGUGAUGACGAGGCACUACGGUGCUGAAGCAACAAAUGCCCUGCUUCCAGGAAAAGCCUCUAAGCAUCAGGUAACAUCAAAUCGUACCCCAAACCGACACAGGUGGUCAGGUAGAGAAUACCAAGGCGCUUGAGAGAACUCGGGUGAAGGAACUAGGCAAAAUGGUGCCGUAACUUCGGGAGAAGGCACGCUGAUAUGUAGGUGAAGUCCCUCGCGGAUGGAGCUGAAAUCAGUCGAAGAUACCAGCUGGCUGCAACUGUUUAUUAAAAACACAGCACUGUGCAAACACGAAAGUGGACGUAUACGGUGUGACGCCUGCCCGGUGCCGGAAGGUUAAUUGAUGGGGUCAGCGCAAGCGAAGCUCUUGAUCGAAGCCCCGGUAAACGGCGGCCGUAACUAUAACGGUCCUAAGGUAGCGAAAUUCCUUGUCGGGUAAGUUCCGACCUGCACGAAUGGCGUAAUGAUGGCCAGGCUGUCUCCACCCGAGACUCAGUGAAAUUGAACUCGCUGUGAAGAUGCAGUGUACCCGCGGCAAGACGGAAAGACCCCGUGAACCUUUACUAUAGCUUGACACUGAACAUUGAGCCUUGAUGUGUAGGAUAGGUGGGAGGCUUUGAAGUGUGGACGCCAGUCUGCAUGGAGCCGACCUUGAAAUACCACCCUUUAAUGUUUGAUGUUCUAACGUUGACCCGUAAUCCGGGUUGCGGACAGUGUCUGGUGGGUAGUUUGACUGGGGCGGUCUCCUCCUAAAGAGUAACGGAGGAGCACGAAGGUUGGCUAAUCCUGGUCGGACAUCAGGAGGUUAGUGCAAUGGCAUAAGCCAGCUUGACUGCGAGCGUGACGGCGCGAGCAGGUGCGAAAGCAGGUCAUAGUGAUCCGGUGGUUCUGAAUGGAAGGGCCAUCGCUCAACGGAUAAAAGGUACUCCGGGGAUAACAGGCUGAUACCGCCCAAGAGUUCAUAUCGACGGCGGUGUUUGGCACCUCGAUGUCGGCUCAUCACAUCCUGGGGCUGAAGUAGGUCCCAAGGGUAUGGCUGUUCGCCAUUUAAAGUGGUACGCGAGCUGGGUUUAGAACGUCGUGAGACAGUUCGGUCCCUAUCUGCCGUGGGCGCUGGAGAACUGAGGGGGGCUGCUCCUAGUACGAGAGGACCGGAGUGGACGCAUCACUGGUGUUCGGGUUGUCAUGCCAAUGGCACUGCCCGGUAGCUAAAUGCGGAAGAGAUAAGUGCUGAAAGCAUCUAAGCACGAAACUUGCCCCGAGAUGAGUUCUCCCUGACUCCUUGAGAGUCCUGAAGGAACGUUGAAGACGACGACGUUGAUAGGCCGGGUGUGUAAGCGCAGCGAUGCGUUGAGCUAACCGGUACUAAUGAACCGUGAGGCUUAACCUUACAACGCCGAAG
rnacentral:rRNA from 1 species